rnacentral:rRNA from 1 species
AUACGGAGGGUGCAAGCGUUACUCGGAAUCACAGGGCGUAAAGCGCGCGCAGGCGGCUAUUUAAGUUGGAUGUGAAAGCCUACGGCUCAACCGUAGAACUGCAUCCAAAACUAUUUAGCUAGAGUGUGGGAGAGGAAGAUGGAAUUAGUUGUGUAGGGGUAAAAUCCGUAGAGAUAACUAGGAAUACCAAAAGCGAAGGCAAUCUUCUGGAACACUACUGACGCUGAGGCGCGAAAGCGUGGGGAGCAAACGGGAUUAGAAACCCCGGUAGUCC